CAACAACAGUCGACCGCCCGUCAUGGUCUGGACCAGAAGGACGCCAAGGUGUGAUUUGGUUGGUGCAUGGUCUGGUUACCCAUUUUUAUCAGGGACAGGAGUGUGCCAAGCCAUGCUCUCAUAAAAACCCAUGUCUUGGUGUCCUUAAGGAUGCCAAGACAUGAUCCCCGAUCAUGACACGCCACCAUGGUGAUGGAAGAAGGAAACAGAGGAAAGAAAUUCAAUUGUUAAGUUCUCACUUUAGAAGAUCUUGAGCCAUUUAUAAAGAGCAACAGCUGACUCUACCAAGUGUAAGAAUCUCUUUUUGAAAACCUAAGCUGCUCAAACCUAUUCUACACUUUUAUCAGAUGAAUCCGAGGCGGGAAGGAGCCCAUAUAUAUACCCAGGGUGGGGAAAGUGAUCAUGAGAGUUCAGGCAGUGCAGCCUCCUGCUAGGAGUUUUUGUUGGUGUCAACACCCCCUUCAAAACUGUACCUGAGGGCUGAAGUCCAAUCAGGCCAGAGGCACAGUGGCAGAAGAAGGUUGACAAAAGGCCAGGGACUACAUCAUGUGGUCACUAGCACAAUGACCAAGGGAAGGGGUGCUAUGGCCAGUGCUUAAAGAUAUGUGCAGUAGGUCCACUGACCUAGGUUGUCAUGCUGG
rnacentral:sRNA from 1 species